rnacentral:rRNA from 1 species
GACGAACGCUGGCGGCGUGCUUAACACAUGCAAGUCGAACGGAAAGGCCCUGCUUUUGUGGGGUGCUCGAGUGGCGAACGGGUGAGUAACACGUGAGUAACCUGCCCUUGACUUUGGGAUAACUUCAGGAAACUGGGGCUAAUACCGGAUAGGAGCUCCUGCUGCAUGGUGGGGGUUGGAAAGUUUCGGCGGUUGGGGAUGGACUCGCGGCUUAUCAGCUUGUUGGUGGGGUAGUGGCUUACCAAGGGUUUGACGGGUAGCCGGCCUGAGAGGGUGACCGGCGACAUGGGGACUGAGAGACGGCCCAGACUCCUACGGGAGGCAGCGGUGGGGAAUAUUGCACAAUGGGCGGAAGCCUGAUGCAGAAACGCCGCGUGCGGGAUGACGGCCUUCGGGUUGUAAACCGCUUUCGCCUGUGACGAAGCGUGAGUGACGGUAAUGGGUAAAGAAGCACCGGCUAACUACGUG